CCCAUUAGCUCAGUUGAUCAGAGCAUGGUACUAAUAACAUCAGGGUGGUGGGUUUGAACCCUACAUGGG
rnacentral:tRNA from 1 species